rnacentral:rRNA from 1 species
GACGAACGCUGGCGGCGUGCUUAACACAUGCAAGUCGAACGGAAAGGCCUGCUUUCCCUUGUGGAUUGCGGGUACUCGAGUGGCGAACGGGUGAGUAACACGUGAGUGAUCUGCCCCCAACUUGGGUAUAAGCCUGGGAAACUGGGUCUAAUUCCCGAUAGGACUGCAGGGUGGUGCCUGUGGUGGAAAACGAUUUUCUAGUGGUUGGGGAUGAGCUCGCGGCCUAUCAGCUUGUUGGUGGGGUAAUGGCCUACCAAGGCGGCGACGGGUAGCCGGCCUGAGAGGGUGGACGGCCACAUUGGGACUGAGAUACGGCCCAGACUCCUACGGGAGGCAGCAGUGGGGAAUAUUGCACAAUGGGCGGAAGCCUGAUGCAGCGACGCCGCGUGGGGGAUGACGGCCUUCGGGUUGUAAACUCCUUUCGACCGCGAGGAAGCCACCUGGUUGGAAGGGUGGUGACGGUAGUGGUAGAAGAAGCACCGGCUGACUACGUG